rnacentral:rRNA from 1 species
CGUAGGGUGCGAGCGUUAAUCGGAAUUACUGGGCGUAAAGGGUGCGUAGGUGGGUCUGUAAGUCAGUGGUGAAAUCUCCGAGCUUAACUCGGAAACUGCCAUUGAUACUAUAGAUCUUGAAUUAUCUGGAGGUAAGCGGAAUAUGUCAUGUAGCGGUGAAAUGCUUAGAUAUGACAUAGAACACCAAUUGCGAAGGCAGCUUACUACGGAUUUAUUGACACUGAGGCACGAAAGCGUGGGGAUCAAACAGGAUUAGAUACCCUGGUAGUCCACGCCCUAAACGAUGGAUACUCGACAUCAGCGAUACACUGUUGGUGUCUGAGCGAAAGCAUUAAGUAUCCCACCUGGGAAGUACGAUCGCAAGAUUG